rnacentral:rRNA from 1 species
ACUCCUACGGGAGGCAGCAGUGGGGAAUAUUGCACAAUGGGGAAACCCUGAUGCAGCCAUGCCGCGUGUGUGAAGAAGGCCUUCGGUUGUAAAGCACUUUCAGUAGGGAGGAAGGUAGUGUAGUUAACACCUGCAUUAUUUGACGUUACCUACAGAAGAAGCACCGGCUAACUCCGUGCCAGCAGCCGCGGUAAUACGGAGGGUGCGAGCGUUAAUCGGAAUUACUGGGCGUAAAGCGCAUGCAGGCGGCCUGUUAAGUCAGAUGUGAAAGCCCGGGGGCUUAACCUCGGAAUUGCAUUUGAAACUGGCAGGCUAGAGUCUUGUAGAGGGGGUAGAAUUUCAGGUGUAGCGGUGAAAUGCGUAGAGAUCUGAAGGAAUACCAGUGGCGAAGGCGGCCCCCUGGACAAAGACUGACGCUCAGAUGCGAAAGCUGGGGAGCGAAACAGGAUUAGAUACCCUGGUAGCACAGAG